CACACACACACACCUAAGGCCAAGAGAGAAAAUUGUGGGAUUUGUGUAGUCUUGUGUUGUUCAAGGCUUGAAGUGUGUGCUAGGAAGUAUUUUGGAAAAGAAGUUUAAAGGAACUACACAAAGAAGAGAGUUAUGAAAAAGAUGAGUAUCAGGAUUGUCCAGACCUUUAGGUGAUCUUGAUAGCAGUGUUUGAGGUUGGGAUGCCUCCAUUUUGUGGACUGCUGUGUUCCAGUCCUUUAUUAUAUUAUCUUGAGAAUGAUAUUUAUAUUUUGUUGGUGUGUAUUAACUAUACUCUAGUUAUUUUGGCUUGUAAAUUAUAUGUGCCGUUUGUGGCACCUAUUUUUAAUGCACCUAGUGUGCAAAUAGCGUGUAAUGAUAA